rnacentral:rRNA from 2 species
GGGUUUACCCAUUGGUCAGGCUUAAUUGUCUGUACUGGUGAGAUAAAUCUCUACCUUCUGAGGAACUUUCAUGCCAUUUAUUUGGUGUGGUGGGAAAUCAGGACUGUUACUUUGAAAAAUUAGAGUGUUUAAAGCAGGCUAACGUCUGAAUACAUUAGCAUGGAAUAAUGAAAAUAGGACGGACUGAUUCUAUUUCGUUGGUUUCUAGGAUCACCGUAAUGAUUAAUAGGGAUAGUUGGG